UACGUAGGGUCCGAGCGUUGUCCGGAGUGACUGGGCGUAAAGCGCGCGCAGGCGGCCCGCGAGGUGUCCUGUGAAAGCCCCGUGCUCAACGCGGGAGGGUCAGGGCAAACCGGCGGGCUUGAGGCCGGUAGAGGUGGGUGGAACUCCUGGUGGAGUGGUGAAAUGCGUAGAGAUCAGGAAGAACACCCGUGGCGAAGGCGGCCCACUGGGCCGGACCUGACGCUGAGGCGCGAAGGCGUGGGGAGCAAACGGG
rnacentral:rRNA from 1 species